rnacentral:rRNA from 1 species
AGAGGGGGAUAACAUUCUGAAAAGAAUGCUAAUACCGCAUGACAUAUCGGAACCACAUGGUUCUGAUAUCAAAGAUUUUAUCGCUUGAAGAUGGACUCGCGUCCGAUUAGUUAGUUGGUGAGGUAACGGCUCACCAAGACCGCGAUCGGUAGCCGGACUGAGAGGUUGAACGGCCACAUUGGGACUGAGACACGGCCCAGACUCCUACGGGAGGCAGCAGUAGGGGAUAUUGCGCAAUGGGGGCAACCCUGACGCAGCAACGCCGCGUGAAGGAUGAAGGUUUUCGGAUUGUAAACUUCUUUUAUUAAGGACGAAAAAUGACGGUACUUAAUGAAUAAGCUCCGGCUAACUACGUGCCAGCAGCCGCGGUAAUACGUAGGGAGCAAGCGUUGUCCGGAUUUACUGGGUGUAAAGGGUGCGUAGGCGGCUUUGCAAGUCAGAUGUGAAAUCUAUGGGCUCAACCCAUAAACUGCAUUUGAAACUGUAGAGCUUGAGUGAAGUAGAGGCAGGCGGAAUUCCCCGUGUAGCGGUGAAAUGCGUAGAGAUGGGGAGGAACACCAGUGGCGAAGGCGGCCUGCUGGGCUUUAACUGACGCUGAGGCACGAAAGCGUGGGUAGCAAACAGGAUUAGAUACCCUGGUAGUCCACGCUGUAAACGA